rnacentral:sRNA from 1 species
GUCAAAGGUUUUCAAAACCUGAGGUUCAUAGAGACUCAAAAUUGUAGCACCUUUAAUCAGUACAGGUUUGACUUUCAGGUAGAGAUGGGAAGUUUUCUCAGGUGAGAGAUAAGCCAAUAAGAGCAGCAACUUAAACCACAGAUACGCAAAGAGAAAUUAGAAGAAAGAAACAGCCAAUCAAAGGGACUGGAAAAAAUAGAGGAUUACAUGCUGAAAAGACACAAAUUUAGAUAAAAACAAAAUAUAAAAAAAUGGCAGCAGGAAGGAGACUAGAAAAGAUAGUAAAGAUAAUUUGACACAUACAAUGAGACAAAGAGAGAAAAAGCCACAGACAUAGGAACAGAAAGAAAAUAUGACUUUACCUAUAGUGAAGAAAAGUUUAGUCAGAGAAAGACAAAAUGGAACUGUGGAUCAUUUGAGAAAUGGGCUACUGAUUGCAAAUUAACUAGGCAUAUUGAUUCAAUUGCCUUAUGUUUAAAUUUCAGAUCAGAGACUAAGGGUCCAGAAGGAGGGUUGAGGGAAUUGCUGAGAUGUUGCUACAGAGAGAUGUUGCUGAAAUCUAUGAGGCCCAGACUCUAAGGGCAAGGAAUUGCCUCGGCUGGAGAAAUGAGCCUUGCCUGGGGUCAUCCACUGACCCAUUAAAUGACUAAGGUAGAAAUUUGGAAAGGUCUGGCCCCUUCAGCCCAGUGAAGAAAACAUUCACUGGGCAAUUUUAUAUCCAGGACUCCCUGUGAUGUUGGACAAGGCUACCUUCAGGCCUGAUUCACAGCUCAACUUUUCCUUCUGCCCAAUCCUACCCACUUUCAUUCCUUUUCAUUUUUAAGAUGAUUAUCCCAGGGACUCUCUUAUUAAACAAACUGCACACUAAAUUUUACCUCAAAGUCUGCUUCCCAGAGAACCCUGAAAUGAGAAGUUCUCAGAAAACCUGUGACAUGAAAGUGUUAGGGGUGGCUAAUAUCCAAGUCUCAUGACAUCAAAUAUAGUACCGGUGGAAGGUAUUCAAGUUACCAGUGGCAAAUCCAUAUGGGUCUGCAGCAACCUCAAUUUUUGCCUCCUCAGAAGAAAGAAAUUGACUGAGGGGCGUAAGGCAGAGAAAGAGAUCAAGGCAAGUUUCGAGCAGGAGUGGAAGUUUAUUUAAAAAUGCUUUAGAAGAGGAAAAAAGGAAAGUAUGCUUGGAAGAGACCCAAGUGGGUAAAUUGAAGGACAAGUGCUGUGUUUAACCUUAUUCCUAGGACUUUAUAGUCUGGCCCCUUUCCCGUGAUCCUUCCCUUAGAGUGGGCUACCCACAUGCACAGUGCCCUCCUUACCCUUAGGAAGUGAGCAUGCACAGUGUGUUUAGGAAGUCGUAUGCGUGCCCAUCUGAGGCUUUCUUCCCUUUCUCGGUGGUGUGCCCUCAGAAGGUCAUACUCCUUCAUUUUGUCUCUUAAUGCACAUGUCUAGAAAGUUACUUUCUUUUGGCAUCUGCAUUCUAUUAGCAGUUUAGUGCAACAGGUGUGGACCAUCAGGAAAUGGCGUCUCCCUGGCACAGGCUGCCAAUUUAUCACUUUUAGAGAGGCAAUGUGAUAAUUGCCCAACCAUUGCCUAACAUUCCUAGUGUGUGAGCUAGAGCCCUUUCCUGCCCCACUCAUGCCUAACUACCUGUAACAUAAGAAAGAUAACAUUCUCAAGGAUACCUUUUUUUCAGGCAGAUGAAACAGGAUAAGAAUUCAAGAGCAAAUAUCCAUGGUUUUUAAAUCUCUUAAGUUUCAAGCAGAAGAUCAAACACAGUGUGUAAGCCUGGAGAACUAAAAAUAACCUGUAAUUCAAGUUGACAUUGUGAGAUGUAUGUAUACAACCAUCUUCUACAAUCUAUGUACUUUCUUAAUAGUAUGUCUGAUGACUAGAAAUGUUCUUAAUUUUAAUUAAGUCCAAUUUAUAAAUUUGCUUUUAUGUUUAGUGCUUUUAUGUAUUUUUAAGGAGAUAUUUGCCUAUUCUGUCAUUCAGGAUCCAGUCAGAAGACAAAAAUCACACAGUAAUUUGAAUAGAGUUUAUAAAUAUAAAUACUUAUUAAUUUUGUAAGGAAAUCAACUUUAAAGAAGGUAAAGACAAUGAUGAGUAAUAUCCUAGAGCUAAGAGAGAUUAUUGAAAGAGAAAACAAACUUGGAAAAUGGGGAAGGUACUCCCCAAGCCCAAGGUUGAAACUUCAUUUGAGAGUGCAUAGUCUUAGCAUCCAGGAGGAUGCCAGAAAAGGUCAUUACAUUGCAUGUGUUAAGAAAGACACCUCUGUGGGGAAUAGGUGAACCAAGGAUGAGAGACUAAGAUUCCUUUUCGGGACUGAGUAGUAGGAAGCACCAGGUGAGCUGAGGCUUGUAGGCAGGGAACUAUAGUUGGCAUUGGCAAGCAGAUGAUAACCCCCUUUGAAGUACAGGUGGGCAGCAAAUCACAGUUUGGACUGACAAGCUGGAAACACCCCUCCAGGGUCCAAAUAGGUUAUUUGGGAAGCCGGUCCCUAGAGUAACUGCAAGACUCAGUAAGAGUCUAGUCAUAUGGGUAUUGUUGAAAUUUGAUAGGAUGAGUAUUACUAAAUAUUUCUCAUUACAUGCCUCUGAUUUUUGCACUGUAGAAGUGAGAAUAAUCAAAGAGAAGUACACAAGAACUUCUCCUACAAGUGUCCCUGCAGCACCCUCUGCUGGCCAAGUUUAACAUCAUGAAUCUGUGAAGGAAAAAAUGUCCAUUGAGCCCAGUUCCAUUGAUGCAGAGUAAGCAAUGAAGUCUAUAUUUGAAACUGGGACAAUAAAUAAAUAACUGACACAUUUACUGAUAUUAUCAAUGAUGUUCUUCUGUGUAAUUUUUGAAAAUUGUAAGGCUUUCCUUUUGAUAUUUCUAAAUACAACACAUGUAGAAUUUAUUUUUAUGAAUGAUGAGGUAAGGUCAAGGCAUAUUUUUUGAUAUGAAUACAUAGUUCAGUCAGAACUGUGUAAAAGAAAAUAAAAAUUGAAGGACCCCCCAAACUUGUGCAGAAGUGAAGACUAAGUCCUGAAGCUGAAUCAUUGCAACACUCUCUUCCACAUGAAUAACUGUUACUAACAUUAUAUAUCAGCUAGAUUGGAAAGGUAAAUGGCCUCAGGCAUCUGGGAAGGGCUGCCCACGGAUCAUUCGUAAGUAAAUUCUUUGCUUGCCUCCCAUAAACAAGGACACGCUAGUUGUAAAUUUAGGUCCACAAUCCAAGUCUAGCUCCUAAAACUCCACACCGAUUAUGUCACUUACAAGUUUAUCUUCCCAGGUGCAGAAAAGAGUCAAGAUUCAUUUUCUUCACCUACCCAGAGACGACUACAUAAUUGAGUCUUCCUUUACUCCCUUUCUUGCUUCAGACAUUCACCUUAUCUUACAUAAAAUGUAGAUUUACUGAACACUAACUGAAGUCUCAGGAAUGUAAAUAUUUCCCCUACUGCUCAACCUACAUGCCUCCCCUUUCCCCCUUUUAAGGAAAUGGAUAAAUACACAACUUCCUGAAAACUUUUGUGGAAAUAGGCACAGAUGUGUUGGUGGCUUUUGUUUUUCCCAGAAAUGCCCUAAACCUGGCUUAAUAAAC